rnacentral:lncRNA from 1 species
UGACGCCCUUGCCCAUGACAAUGCUUUUCAAUCAUGGAUACUUCUCAGAAUCAUCCCCCUGCUUAAAACAUUUUAGUGGCAUCAGUUGUUCUUGGCAGAAAGACAAUGAGCUUAGCAGAAGUCCAUGUCAUUGCAAACCAGACCCCGCGUGAUCUAGCUCCCACCUACCUCCCCAAACUGUCUGCACCAUUUGCUCCCUCACUCUCUGCCUGCUGCCAUGCUGGCCUUCUUAGAGUUUCUGGAACGCAUGUGCUGGCUCUUGCUUGUGUGAGCUCCCUCUGCCUGGAAGCUUUCACCCUGCCUCUCUCCCUGGAGAACUCUCCCUUCCGCUCGGGCUGCUCUGUCCGGGUCAGUUCUUGUAAUCACCUCCGUUCCUCUCAUCACAGCUGUAACGCUACAUUUCUUUCUGUCAUUAGUUGAUUAGCACUUAUCUCCUUAAUAAUAUCUAAGGUCCAUAAGGACAGUCUGUGUGGGUUUUACCCAUCAUUUUAUCCCCAGCACCUAGCAUAAGUCUGGCCUAGAGUCAGUCCUUUAUGAUUAUUUGCUGAAUAAAUGGACCUCUGACCAAGUUUUGAGAUCUGAUUCCAUUAUUCACUACCUGUGAUACCUUGAGGUCCUCACUUUGCCUCCAUGAAACUGGUUUUCUUUACCAGUCAAGUGGGAACUGUGUCUACUUGACAGCAUCGUUCUGGGAAAUGAACUAGGCAAUGGAGGUGAAGUUAUUUUGUAGACUACAACCCAAUCUACAAGUGUAAAUUGCUUUUUUGAUUCUGUUGAUUUAUUAUUAUUCUGAAACAGAAGUAAUCAAGGCUUAUAAAGGGAAAAAAUCCAUUGUUGGCCUAAAAGGGAGACUUCUUUUCUGUUCUCUUCCUGCAUUCAGUGUUUCCGCUCAUUGUUCUAUCAAAGCCUGCAUUAAGUAAAGGACUUGACGCAAAGCAUUUGCAUCAUAAUGUUAAUUUAAACACUGGGGAUAUUUGCAUUUUAAAUUUGAUCUCUGAUUGAAGAACAGAAGGCUUUGUCUAUUUUUAAAUAAAUGUCAAACAUCAGUGAGGAGACAGAGACUGAGCCCCUGGGAGUGGGCAGUCAAGCCCACUCCAUCCAGACCUGCCUCGCCAUCUCCUGCCUGCCGCUGAGCCCGGGUGCCGUUUCCAUCAGUGUCCUCUCCAUCGCUGAAGUGAGUUCCUCCUGGCCAGUGAUUCCGCUGUCUUCAAGAACUCCACCAUCUUUACUUACUUCAGUUCCGAAUUCUCCCUAGAACGCAGUGUUUUGUUGAUUUGAGAAUUUUGGGGAAUGUUGUGAUUGUUUCUGGGGAAAUUGGGGGCAGUUUGGAAUUUUGACAAACAAGUACUACCCAGGGGGUGUUUCAGCAGCGGCCCUGCCUCGCCCUCGCUCAGUCCAGCAGCCUCCAAAGUUUCUGGAGGACUAGAGAAGAGAACAGCCUUUUUCGGGGCAUUGGGUCCCGGGAUGCAAAGAAUUAGGAAACAGGUGACAGUGAUAAGUGAGGGAAGGACAGACUGUCACUGCUCUUUCAGGCUCUGCUGGGAGAAAAUGAACUUUUGGAGUGGUUAUUGUUGACAUAUUGGUUGCCAGUAAUCAAUCAUAAGUGCCUGUGAUAAUUUUCUUGGAAUAAAGUCUAUGAUGGGAGGCAUUGUAGGGCAUGCACAGGAAUAUACUUCAUAAUCUCUGACUUCAAGGACUUUACAACUUAGUGGUAGCGAUGAGACAUACACACAAGAAAUUAAAUGAUAACACAAACAAGUAUAAGCCCCCAAAGAGUUGGAAGGACAGCAAGUGCUAUGGGAGCCUAGGGGAGGAAGACCCUACUGUGGGCGGGGUGGUCAGAAGCAUAUGGUUAAAGUCCAGCUACUUUCCACUGUCUGGAAUCCUUCAGUGGUCCAUCAACCCCCUGUGGACUGGGUGGUCAGAACUUGAUCAUGGGAGUGAAGGGGGCUUAGUACAACUUGGAAGCAUGACUAAGGGUAAAUAGCAUUCAAAUAGAUGGUGAAGGAGCAGGUGGUGGGAAGAGACCAUUUCAAGUGGGCAAAACAAGGCCCACCUAGGUUUCUAAAUUCUGAUAUAAUUAACUCCCCGUUACCUCAGGGCUUGCCCCUAACGGUGGUAAUGGAGCACAGGGGAAGUUCUUAAAUGAUGGCAACUGCUGGCCCAGCCUAAUAGCCUACACAUGAGAGAGAUUACAACUGCCAGUCUCACCAGUUCACAGGUGAGGACAUGGAAGAAUGAGUGGGAAGGAGGAGUCAAGGCCUUGGUGAUUUCCACCUCCACGUGGUCUGGACCACAUUCUUCCCUAGAAGUGUUGCUUCCCUCUGCAUAUCACAGUCUGCCGUAACUGGAGAAAAGGAGAACACAGCAGAUCAGGUUAAUCACCUGGAAGACUGGGAAAUCCAAAUUCACUCCAGCCCACGCAAGCUAGGUAACUGCACCAGUCAGACCUGUUGGGGAUCCAGGGACCAGCCUGCACAUCGAUGUGUGGCAACCAGAGAGCUGUUCUGAAGAUUAAAAGGAGACCUCCAUCUAUGUGGGAAGUAUUGCUGCUAUCGGAAUGUUUUCGUAUACAAUCAUCCCCUGCAUAGCGAUGUUUCCGUCACUUAUGGACUGAAUGUAUGACGGCGGUUCCAUAAGAGUCUCUGUCACAGCAAAUAGAAUAAUUGUUCGAGAAUAUCAGCCUCUGUUCUGCUGUUUUUCAAUAGGAAUGCUACUUUUCUCCUCACCUCGAGGACUUCCAGUUUCCCCUUCUUGACUGACAGAAACUGCCCCUACACUUCCUUCUGCCCCAGGUGGUAUUUGCCCUCCUCCUCUAGGGCAAAACUGAAGGGUUGCGGGGAAAGAAACAAUUACCAAGAAGGACAAAUAUGCUAGGAGAAAUGACCUCAUUCGCCCUCUUAGGCUUAGUUUUUGCUUGGGAGGAAGAAAAGAAGCCAUCAGCCUAUGGGAUCUUCAGAGGGUCCACAGCAGAGUUCCACCGAGUCACAGGCUGGGCGUCCGGGGCUGGAGGAUGCUCGCGGAGAACACAGAUGAUGUUUCUGGGAGCAGGAUGAAGCACUGCCAUCAGCGAAGCUAGAAGUGUAGGUUUUUGAGAAGGUCUAAUUACAAGAUUUUGGUAAGUUCUAUAACUCCAUACAUGGAGGCAGAAAACUAAAUAACUAACUUAGUAAGAAAGACAGGAGAAAAAUUCUGUUUUUAUCUCAAGCACAGCUUGUUCACACCCUCCUAAUACUCAUCGAGUGUAAUGAUGUUUAUUUCAUCUCUUUUGAGAAAAAGACAAAAUGGAGAAACUAUGGCUAUUAAAUAUUACUAAGAUCCGUGUGCUUUCUUCCAGAUAGAGGAAAUUCAUGUAUGGCAACAACUGAAACAAGUCACUUUAGGAAUUCACGUAAGAAUCUCUUCAAAAAUUUUGCCAGCUGCUGGCCGGUGCUGUUGUCGAAGUCCAGAGCCUGAUCUGCCUCAGGCCGGGUAGUGGAGUCAGGCUUAGCUGAGUCAUGAUUAUCUGUCUGAGACAGUCACUCCCUAGUAGGCAUCUAACUAUGCACACUCUACACCUUUCUCUUUGGUACUCCCUUGAGUACACAGGCAAAGUGUUGAGCUUGGGGCGGCAAUCCUGAACACAACCUGGUGUUGGGGCGCAGCAGGGAAGGGGUGGGUGGAAGAGGAUUCUAAAAGAGGGAUUGUAGGUUCCACUGCCCAUGGUGCCAGGCAGGAAACCUAAGUAAUCAGGUAUCUAAAAAUAAAACAAGAAAAUUUUCUAUCUCACCACAAUGUUUUCACCUGUCACAGGAGUAAGACUUUUAAAAUAUAUUAGUUUGCUUUCCUCUUUUUCCUUUAUGAAUACAAGCUCUCGAGCUCAGCCUCCCCCAGGCAACCAUCUAUAGGGGUUGGGAGGGCUGGGGAACAUUGAUUACAGAAAUGCUGAGGGAAGAGCACGGACAUACUCAGAUUUUGAUAUUCAAAAUCAGAUUAUUCAGCAAGACAGUAAUGGGCUUGCAAGCCAUGAUAUGGUAUUGAGAAAGCAUGUUCCAGUUCCCUUCAUCUUCCCUUAAGAAUAUCAACAAAUAAGGCUGGAUGAUCAACAAAGAAGCAGAGUCCCCGCAGGAGUGAGGAAGAUGCCCCGUCUGUUCCUGCCAGCCUGGCCCCUCUGAGAGGGGGAGAGGAUAGGACGUAGGAGAAUUAAGAGAACCCUCCUCCGUUUGCUGGUCUUGUAAGAACAUGUACAGAGUAGAGAUAAGAAGGGAGAAGGGAGAUGGCCAGAAUUGUGCUGCCCAUGUUUCCUUCUCCGGGGUUAGGCUUGAGAAACAGGUGUGUUGGGUAAAUGAGGCUGAUGCCAGAGAGAAGGAGCUAACCGUUUCUUGCUUCUCUGGAGCACAGCUGUAGGAAAGCAUACUGAGCGGUCAGCACAGAGAAGCUGGCAGUGGAGCUUUCCUGAGUUGCCCCAAUUCCUCUGUCAGGGAGUCACUGAAUUGAGAGCCAGUGGAACUGUUAAGGGGGUUGAUACAGCAGUGUGCAGUGACCCUCAGCUGAGGAUGUGGUCAGUGGCUCGUGGGCCUGCAGCCCGUGGAAGCCAAACUAUGAUGAGUCAGCACAGGAGCACCAUCUGAGCCAGAAGAACGAGCCUGGGUCAUACCAACUUCAGCAGUGAAGGCCAGCAGAGCCCAGCGGCACCCAGGCAGACAAGGGCCAUUGUUCCGGAGGCCAGCCCAGGCCAACCAAUGCAGACAGAGCCCCAGUUCAGGAUUAGGGGGGGCUCCCAAUGUCCCCAAGGACUCACAUACCUGACCCCCUGCACACCUGGAUACCAAGCUGGAGAGACGCAGGGGCAGGCAGAGGUUGCUGAGGGCUGAGAAGUGCUCUUAAGCCUUGAGUUCAGUUUGGCUCUGUGCAACAGAGGAGACCAGGGCUGCUGCGGCAGGUCCUUCUCUUCUAUGCUUGGGUCCUGACCUUAGAGAACUGUGAAAAUGUGUCAAGUAUGAAAACAGGAGAUAUGUAAGUGGAAACUGUAGCAUCUGUGAGAGUUGACUCAAUCCAAUGAACAAGACCAGUGUAAGUCUCUUAGAAGAUAGAUCAAGGAAGCAUUCAGGAGAAUGUCUGGAUUGAGACAUAAAAGACAAGUGGGAAUUUGGCAAAUAAAUGUAGUUGGGUGGAUGGGUGGUGAUUCCAGGUAGAAGAAAUAAGAUGUGCAAAGGACAAGAAGUGAGAGGGAAAAAAUUAACAUUCAUAUGACUGUAAGUUGGCUAGUUUGGUUGGACCAUAGCUUGUAAGAAGCUGAGAAUGAUGUAUUUGGAGAUAUAAAUGGCAGAUUGAAAAGAACCUUGAUGUCUUGUUAACCAUUAAAGACAUUAAUAUGGGAAGAAUCCACUCCUCCACAAAAUGUGCUGGGCACAAGGAUUUUACAGGAUAUUCAAAGCACAAAUAGACCCUGCUGCAUCUAAGUUUUUCCAGAACACCGUAAAAGAAGGAAAGCUUCCUGAAUCACUGUACAGGGACAGAUUAAGUUUGAUAUAAAAGCCAGACAAAGACACUACAAAAAUAAAAUUACAAGGCCAUUUCUUUCAUGCACAUAGAUAUGAAAGUCUUAAUAUAUUACACAGACAAAUAGCUUUUCUUAAUGUGUCCUGACUAGAUACAGUUUAUCUCAGGAGAAGAGUGAUUCAGCAUCAGAAAAUGUAUUAGUUUACCAUACUUACAG